AUUGAACGCUGGCGGCAGGCCUAACACAUGCAAGUCGAGCGGAUGAAGGGAGCUUGCUCCUGGAUUCAGCGGCGGACGGGUGAGUAAUGCCUAGGAAUCUGCCUGGUAGUGGGGGAUAACGUCCGGAAACGGGCGCUAAUACCGCAUACGUCCUGAGGGAGAAAGUGGGGGAUCUUCGGACCUCACGCUAUCAGAUGAGCCUAGGUCGGAUUAGCUAGUUGGUGGGGUAAAGGCCUACCAAGGCGGCGAUCCGUAACUGGUCUGAGAGGAUGAUCAGUCACACUGGAACUGAGACACGGUCAAGACUCCUACGGGAGGCAGCAGUGGGGAAUAUUGGACAAUGGGCGAAAGCCUGAUCCAGCCAUGCCGCGUGUGUGAAGAAGGUCUUCGGAUUGUAAAGCACUUUAAGUUGGGAGGAAGGGCAGUAAGUUAAUGCCUUGCUGUUUUGACGUUACCAACAGAAUAAGCACCGGCUAACUUCGUG
rnacentral:rRNA from 1 species